UUAAAGAGUGCGUAAUAGCUCACUGGUCAAGUGGUUCCGCGCCGACAAUGUAGCGGGGCUCAAGUACACCGCCGAAGCUGUGGCACUCACACGUGUGCUUCGCAUCGUCUUUCGGGAUGGUGUGCAGGUGUGUGGGUGGGUAGGGGAGCGUCGUGCCGGGGGUGAAGCAGCGGGGUGACCCAGUUGUGGACGCGGCACGAGUGAGAAUGCAGGCAUGAGUAGCGAAAGAAGGGUGAGAAACCCUUCCGCCGGAUGACCAAGGGUUCCAGGGCCAGGCUAAUCCGCCCUGGGUGAGUCGGGACCUAAGGCGAGGCCGAGAGGCGUAGUCGAUGGACAACGGGUUGAUAUUCCCGUACCCGCGAAAGAGCGUCCCUGAUGAACCUCGUUGUGCUAACCACCCAAUCCAUCUGAGACCUUCGGGUUGAGGGUGGGGAGCGUGGGAACCUGACGGGUAGUAGUCAAGCGAUGGGGUGACGCAGGAAGGUAGCUGAGCCCGGCCGGUGGUUGUGCCGGGGUAAGCGUGUAGGCCGGUGUGUAGGCAAAUCCGCACACCAUUAAGGCUGAGACGUGAUGCCGAGCCGAUUCAGGUGAAGUCAGUGAUCCUAUGCUGCCGAGAAAAGCCUCUAGCGAGUUCUGAGCGGCCCGUACCCCAAACCGACACAGGUGGUCAGGUAGAGAAUACCGAGGCGAUCGGGCGAACUGUGGUUAAGGAACUCGGCAAAUUGCCCCCGUAACUUAGGGAGAAGGGGGGCCGGAGACGUGAAGCCCCGCGCGGGUGGAGCGUUGUAUGGCCGCAGAGAGCAGGGGGAAGCGACUGUUUACUAAAAACACAGGUCCAUGCGAAGAAGUAAUUCGAUGUAUAUGGACUGACGCCUGCCCGGUGCUGGAACGUUAAGGGGACCUGUUAGCUCUUCGGGGCGAAGCGGAGAACUUAAGCGCCAGUAAACGGCGGUGGUAACUAUAACCAUCCUAAGGUAGCGAAAUUCCUUGUCGGGUAAGUUCCGACCUGCACGAAUGGCGUAACGACUUCCCCACUGUCUCAACCACAGGCCCGGCGAAAUUGCAGUACGAGUAAAGAUGCUCGUUACGCGCGGCAGGACGGAAAGACCCCGGGACCUUUACUAUAGCUUGACAUUGGUAUCUGAGUUAGCUUGUGUAGGAUAGGUGGGAGCCGGUGAAGCGCAUACGCCAGUAUGUGUGGAGGCAAUCUUGAAAUACCACUCUGGUUGAUUCGGGUAUCUAACUUCGGACCGUUAUCCGGUUCAGGGACAGUGUCUGGUGGGUAGUUUAACUGGGGCGGUUGCCUCCUAAAAGGUAACGGAGGCGCCCAAAGGUUCCCUCAGCCUGGUUGGCAAUCAGGUGUUGAGUGCAAGUACACAAGGGAGCUUGACUGUGAGACUGACGGGUCGAGCAGGGACGAAAGUCGGGACUAGUGAUCCGGCACUUGCGUGUGGAAGCGGUGUCGCUCAACGGAUAAAAGGUACCCCGGGGAUAACAGGCUGAUCUUCCCCAAGAGUCCAUAUCGACGGGAUGGUUUGGCACCUCGAUGUCGGCUCGUCGCAUCCUGGGGCUGUAGCAGGUCCCAAGGGUUGGGCUGUUCGCCCAUUAAAGCGGUACGCGAGCUGGGUUUAGAACGUCGUGAGACAGUUCGGUCCCUAUCCGCCGUGCGCGUAGGAUACUUGAGAAGGGCUGUCCCUAGUACGAGAGGACCGGGACGGACGAACCUCUGGUGUGCCAGUUGUCCCGCCAGGGGCACGGCUGGUUAGCUACGUUCGGAAGGGAUAACCGCUGAAAGCAUCUAAGCGGGAAGCUCGCUUCAAGAUGAGGUAUCCCACCCACCUUUGGUGGGGUAAGGCCCCCAGCUAGACGACUGGGUUGAUAGGCCGGAAAUGUAAGCCCGGUAACGGGUUCAGUUGACCGGUACUAAUAGGCCGAGGACUUGACUAU
rnacentral:rRNA from 2 species